rnacentral:rRNA from 1 species
GACGAACGCUGGCGGCGUGCUUAACACAUGCAAGUCGAACGGUAAGGCUCCAGCUUGCUGGGGUACACGAGUGGCGAACGGGUGAGUAACACGUGGGUGACCUGCCCUGCACUUCGGGAUAAGCCUGGGAAACUGGGUCUAAUACCGGAUAGGACCGCACCGUGAGGGUGUGGUGGAAAGUUUUUUCGGUGUGGGAUGGGCCCGCGGCCUAUCAGCUUGUUGGUGGGGUAAUGGCCUACCAAGGCGGCGACGGGUAGCCGGCCUGAGAGGGUGGACGGCCACAUUGGGACUGAGACACGGCCCAGACUCCUACGGGAGGCAGCAGUGGGGAAUAUUGCACAAUGGGCGGAAGCCUGAUGCAGCGACGCCGCGUGGGGGAUGACGGCCUUCGGGUUGUAAACUCCUUUCACCAUCGACGAAGGGUUUCUGACGGUAGAUGGAGAAGAAGCACCGGCUAACUACGUGCCAGCAGCCGCGGUAAUACGUAGGGUGCGAGCGUUGUCCGGAAUUACUGGGCGUAAAGAGCUCGUAGGUGGUUUGUCGCGUCGUCUGUGAAAUUCCGGGGCUUAACUCCGGGCGUGCAGGCGAUACGGGCAUAACUUGAGUACUGUAGGGGAGACUGGAAUUCCUGGUGUAGCGGUGAAAUGCGCAGAUAUCAGGAGGAACACCGGUGGCGAAGGCGGGUCUCUGGGCAGUAACUGACGCUGAGGAGCGAAAGCAUGGGGAGCGAACAGGAUUAGAUACCCUGGUAGUCCAUGCCGUAAACGGUGGGCGCUAGGUGUGGGUUUCCUUCCACGGGAUCCGUGCCGUAGCUAACGCAUUAAGCGCCCCGCCUGGGGAGUACGGCCGCAAGGCUAAAACUCAAAGGAAUUGACGGGGGCCCGCACAAGCGGCGGAGCAUGUGGAUUAAUUCGAUGCAACGCGAAGAACCUUACCUGGGCUUGACAUAUACAGGAUCGCGCCAGAGAUGGUGUUUCCCCUGUGGCUUGUAUACAGGUGGUGCAUGGUUGUCGUCAGCUCGUGUCGUGAGAUGUUGGGUUAAGUCCCGCAACGAGCGCAACCCUUGUCUUAUGUUGCCAGCACGUUGUGGUGGGGACUCGUAAGAAACUGCCGGGGUUAACUCGGAGGAAGGUGGGGAUGACGUCAAAUCAUCAUGCCCCUUAUGUCCAGGGCUUCACACAUGCUACAAUGGUCGGUACAGUGGGUUGCCAGUCCGUGAGGGCGAGCUAAUCCCGCAAAGCCGGUCUCAGUUCGGAUCGGGGUCUGCAACUCGACCCCGUGAAGUCGGAGUCGCUAGUAAUCGCAGAUCAGCAACGCUGCGGUGAAUACGUUCCCGGGCCU